UACGGGGGGGGCAAGCGUUGUUCGGAAUUACUGGGCGUAAAGGGCUUGUAGGUGGCCAACUAAGUCAGACGUGAAAUCCCUCGGCUUAACCGGGGAACUGCGUCUGAUACUGGAUGGCUGGAGUGUGGGAGAGGGAUGCGGAAUUCCAGGUGUAGCGGUGAAAUGCGUAGAUAUCUGGAGGAACACCGGUGGCGAAGGCGGCACCCUGGACCAUUACUGACACUGAAAAGCGAAAGCCAGGGGAGCAAACGGG
rnacentral:rRNA from 1 species